rnacentral:sRNA from 1 species
CUUCGAUUCAUUGGGGAGUAGCCGCCCUGUCGUGGACACUCGUGUUCGACAGGGGCGUACGUCAACAGACUUGGCCGGUUCCGGCUAUGGCGUGCGCAGCCCUCGGGCCUGGCGAGACCGAUGACGAUGCUUCCGCCAACCGGGCCGGGAUGCAUUGUCAUUGGCUCGCGUAUACACGGCCCGG